GGUUAAGCGACUAAGCGUACACGGUGGAUGCCCUGGCAGUCAGAGGCGAUGAAGGACGUGCUAAUCUGCGAAAAGCGUCGGUAAGGUGAUAUGAACCGUUACAGCCGGCGAUGUCCGAAUGGGGAAACCCAGUGCAAUUCGUUGCACUAUCGUUUGAUGAAUACAUAGUCAAACGAGGCGAACCGGGGGAACUGAAACAUCUAAGUACCCCGAGGAAAAGAAAUCAACCGAGAUUCCCCCAGUAGCGGCGAGCGAACGGGGAGCAGCCCGGAGUCUGAAUCAGCUUGUGUGUUAGUGGAAGCGUCUGGAAAGUCGCAGGGUACAGGGUGAUACUCCCGUACACUAAAACACACAGGCUGUGAACUCGAAGAGUAGGGCGGGACACGUGGUAUCCUGUCUGAAUAUGGGGGGACCAUCCUCCAAGGCUAAAUACUCCUGACUGACCGAUAGUGAACCAGUACCGUGAGGGAAAGGCGAAAAGAACCCCGGCGAGGGGAGUGAAAAAGAACCUGAAACCGUGUACGUACAAGCAGUAGGAGCCCACUUGUUGGGUGACUGCGUACCUUUUGUAUAAUGGGUCAGCGACUUAUAUUCUGUAGCAAGGUUAACCGUAUAGGGGAGCCGCAGGGAAACCGAGUCUUAACUGGGCGUUAAGUUGCAGGGUAUAGACCCGAAACCCGGUGAUCUAGCCAUGGGCAGGUUGAAGGUUGGGUAACACUAACUGGAGGACCGAACCGACUAAUGUUGAAAAAUUAGCGGAUGACUUGUGGCUGGGGGUGAAAGGCCAAUCAAACCGGGAGAUAGCUGGUUCUCCCCGAAAGCUAUUUAGGUAGCGCCUCGUGAAUUCAUCUUCGGGGGUAGAGCACUGUUUCGGCUAGGGGGUCAUCCCGACUUACCAACCCGAUGCAAACUACGAAUACCGAAGAAUGUUAUCACGGGAGACACACGGCGGGUGCUAACGUCCGUCGUGAAGAGGGAAACAACCCAGACCGCCAGCUAAGGUCCCAAAGUCAUGGUUAAGUGGGAAACGAUGUGGGAAGGCCCAGACAGCCAGGAUGUUGGCUUAGAAGCAGCCAUCAUUUAAAGAAAGCGUAAUAGCUCACUGGUCGAGUCGGCCUGCGCGGAAGAUGUAACGGGGCUAAACCAUGCACCGAAGCUGCGGCAGCGACACUAUGUGUUGUUGGGUAGGGGAGCGUUCUGUAAGCCGUUGAAGGUGGCCUGUGAGGGUUGCUGGAGGUAUCAGAAGUGCGAAUGCUGACAUAAGUAACGAUAAUGCGGGUGAAAAACCCGCACGCCGGAAGACCAAGGGUUCCUGUCCAACGUUAAUCGGGGCAGGGUGAGUCGACCCCUAAGGCGAGGCCGAAAGGCGUAGUCGAUGGGAAACAGGUUAAUAUUCCUGUACUUGGUGUUACUGCGAAGGGGGGACGGAGAAGGCUAUGUUGGCCGGGCGACGGUUGUCCCGGUUUAAGCAUGUAGGCGGAUGUUCCAGGUAAAUCCGGAACGUUAUUAACGCUGAGGUGUGAUGACGAGGCACUACGGUGCUGAAGUGACAAAUGCCCUGCUUCCAGGAAAAGCCUCUAAGCAUCAGGUAACAUCAAAUCGUACCCCAAACCGACACAGGUGGUCAGGUAGAGAAUACCAAGGCGCUUGAGAGAACUCGGGUGAAGGAACUAGGCAAAAUGGUGCCGUAACUUCGGGAGAAGGCACGCUGAUAUGUAGGUGAAGUGGUUUACCCAUGGAGCUGAAAUCAGUCGAAGAUACCAGCUGGCUGCAACUGUUUAUUAAAAACACAGCACUGUGCAAACACGAAAGUGGACGUAUACGGUGUGACGCCUGCCCGGUGCCGGAAGGUUAAUUGAUGGGGUUAUCCGUAAGGAGAAGCUCUUGAUCGAAGCCCCGGUAAACGGCGGCCGUAACUAUAACGGUCCUAAGGUAGCGAAAUUCCUUGUCGGGUAAGUUCCGACCUGCACGAAUGGCGUAAUGAUGGCCAGGCUGUCUCCACCCGAGACUCAGUGAAAUUGAACUCGCUGUGAAGAUGCAGUGUACCCGCGGCAAGACGGAAAGACCCCGUGAACCUUUACUAUAGCUUGACACUGAACACUGGUCCUUGAUGUGUAGGAUAGGUGGGAGGCUUUGAAGUGUGGACGCCAGUCUGCAUGGAGCCAUCCUUGAAAUACCACCCUUUAAUGGCUGGUGUUCUAACGUGGGCCCGUAAUCCGGGUUGCGGACAGUGUCUGGUGGGUAGUUUGACUGGGGCGGUCUCCUCCUAAAGAGUAACGGAGGAGCACGAAGGUCAGCUAAUCCUGGUCGGACAUCAGGAGGUUAGUGCAAUGGCAUAAGCUGGCUUGACUGCGAGCGUGACGGCGCGAGCAGGUGCGAAAGCAGGUCAUAGUGAUCCGGUGGUUCUGAAUGGAAGGGCCAUCGCUCAACGGAUAAAAGGUACUCCGGGGAUAACAGGCUGAUACCGCCCAAGAGUUCAUAUCGACGGCGGUGUUUGGCACCUCGAUGUCGGCUCAUCACAUCCUGGGGCUGAAGUAGGUCCCAAGGGUAUGGCUGUUCGCCAUUUAAAGUGGUACGCGAGCUGGGUUUAGAACGUCGUGAGACAGUUCGGUCCCUAUCUGCCGUGGGCGCUGGAGAAUUGAGGGGGGCUGCUCCUAGUACGAGAGGACCGGAGUGGACGCAUCACUGGUGUUCGGGUUGUCAUGCCAAUGGCAUUGCCCGGUAGCUAAAUGCGGAAGAGAUAAGUGCUGAAAGCAUCUAAGUACGAAACUUGCCCCGAGAUGAGUUCUCCCUGACUCCUUGAGAGUCCUGAAGGAACGUUGAAGACGACGACGUUGAUAGGCCGGGUGUGUAAGCGCAGCGAUGCGUUGAGCUAACCGGUACUAAUGAACCGUGAGGCUUAACCUU
rnacentral:rRNA from 1 species